CCUACGGGAGGCUGCAGUGAGGAAUAUUGGUCAAUGGACGAGAGUCUGAACCAGCCAAGUAGCGUGAAGGAUGACUGCCCUAUGGUUUGUAAACUUCUUUUAUAAAGGAAUAAAACGAGGCACGUGUGCCUUUUUGCAUGUACUUUAUGAAUAAGGAUCGGCUAACUCCGUGCCAGCAGCCGCGGUAAUACGGAGGAUCCGAGCGUUAUCCGGAUUUAUUGGGUUUAAAGGGAGCGUAGAUGGGUUGUUAAGUCAGUUGUGAAAGUUUGCGGCUCAACCGUAAAAUUGCAAUUGAUACUGGCAGUCUCGAGUACAGUUGAGGUAGGCGGAAUUCGUGGUGUAGCGGUGAAAUGCUUAGAUAUCACGAAGAACCCCGAUUGCGAAGGCAGCUUACUAAACUGUGACUGACAUUGAUGCUCGAAAGUGUGGGUAUCAAACAGGAUUAGAUACCCGAGUAGUC
rnacentral:rRNA from 1 species